rnacentral:rRNA from 1 species
CAACCUGCCCUUCAGAGGGGGACAACAGUUGGAAACGACUGCUAAUACCGCAUACGAUCCAAUCUCGGCAUCGAGACUGGAUGAAAGGUGGCCUCUAUUUAUAAGCUAUCACUGAAGGAGGGGAUUGCGUCUGAUUAGCUAGUUGGAGGGGUAACGGCCCACCAAGGCGACGAUCGGUAGCCGGACUGAGAGGUUGAACGGCCACAUUGGGACUGAGACACGGCCCAG